AUUUUUUUUUAAAAUACGAUUAGACCUUUUACUGUUAUGACUAAAAACACUAUAAAAUGCGUUAUAAAAUGACUUGACUGUUAUGACUAAAAAAACUAUAAAAUGCGUUAUAAAAAUGCAGAUGAAGUGAUUUUAAUUGUUGUAAAAAUGCAAGCGGGGACUUAAAUGCAAAAUAAAAGUUUUUUUUUUUUAAAUGAUUAAAGACAAAAAACACAAGUUUUAAAUGGUAAAAAAAACGAAUAAAAGAGAAUGUGG
rnacentral:lncRNA from 1 species